CCUACGGGAGGCUGCAGUGAGGAAUAUUGGUCAAUGGACGAGAGUCUGAACCAGCCAAGUAGCGUGAAGGAUGACUGCCCUAUGGGUUGUAAACUUCUUUUAUAUGGGAAUAAAACGUUCCACGUGUGGGAUUUUGUAUGUACCAUAUGAAUAAGGAUCGGCUAACUCCGUGCCAGCAGCCGCGGUAAUACGGAGGAUCCGAGCGUUAUCCGGAUUUAUUGGGUUUAAGGGGAGCGUAGGUGGAUUGUUAAGUCAGUUGUGAAAGUUUGCGGCUCAACCGUAAAAUUGCAGUUGAAACUGGCAGUCUUGAGUACAGUAGAGGUGGGCGGAAUUCGUGGUGUAGCGGUGAAAUGCUUAGAUAUCACGAAGAACUCCGAUUGCGAAGGCAGUUCACUGGACUGCAACUGACACUGAGGCUCGAAAGUGUGGGUAUCAAACAGGAUUAGAUACCCUUGUAGUC
rnacentral:rRNA from 1 species